UCCGGUUGAUCCUGGCGGAGGCCAUUGCUAUUGGAGUCCGAUUUAGCCAUGCUAGUCGCGCGGGUUAGACCCGCGGCAUAUAGCUCAGUAACACGUGGCCAAACUACCCUAUGGACGGGGCCAACCUCGGGAAACUGAGGCUAAUCCCCGAUACAGCUCUCACGCUGGAGUGCCGAGAGCUGGAAACGUUCCGGCGCCAUAGGAUGUGGCUGCGGCCGAUUAGGUAGAUGGUGGGGUAACGGCCCACCAUGCCAAUAAUCGGUACGGGUUGUGAGAGCAAGAGCCCGGAGACGGUAUCUGAGACAAGAUACCGGGCCCUACGGGGCGCAGCAGGCGCGAAACCUUUACACUGCACGACAGUGCGAUAAGGGGACUCCAAGUGCGAGGGCAUAUAGCCCUCGCUUUUCUGUACCGUAGGGAGGUACAGGAACAAGUGCUGGGCAAGACCGGUGCCAGCCGCCGCGGUAAUACCGGCAGCACGAGUGAUGGCCGAUAUUAUUGGGCCUAAAGCGUCCGUAGCCGGCCAAACAAGUCCGUUGGGAAAUCGACGCGCUCAACGCGUCGGCGUCCGGCGGAAACUGUUUGGCUUGGGGCCAGAAGAUCUGAGGGGUACGUCCGGGGUAGGAGUGAGAUCCCGUAAUCCUGGACGGACCACCGGUGGCGAAAGCGCCUCAAAAAGAUGGACCCGACGGUGAGGGACGAAAGCUAGGGUCUCGAACCGGAUUAAAUACCCGGGUAGUCCUANCUGUAAACGAUGCUCGCUAGGUGUGCCANAGGCUACNANCCUGUGCUGUGCCCUANGGAANCCAAAAANCGAGCCNCCUGGGA
rnacentral:rRNA from 1 species